GACUGUACUGCUGGUGGUGGCCUGCACUACCACCCGAGGCCAGGAAGACAUCCAGCUGGGAGUCCUUUUUGUGGUGUGUGCUGUCACCUAAGACCACGUGGAGGCCAUGAUCUGUGCCCCUGCUGGGAAGAGUAAGAGAGCUACUUUUGUGAUAUCAGUGACUGCAGAUGCAUAGCCGAGAGGGAGAAACAUGGAAGACUUUCGUGACAACACCCUGCAAAGUAACAGCUUAGACAAGAAGCUGCUGAA
rnacentral:lncRNA from 1 species